CCCUUAGAUGUUCUGGGCCGCACGCGUGCUACACUGAGUGGAUCAGCGGGUCAGGUUACGCGAGAGCGUUUCCUAAUCUUCAAAUCCGCUCGUGAUGGGGAUUGACGGUUGCAAUUUUCCGUCAUGAACGAGGAAUACCUUGUAAGCGCGGGUCAUCAUCCCGCGCUGAAUACGUCCCUGCCCUUUGUACACACCGCCCGUCGCUCCUACCGAUUGAGUGGUCCGGUGAGGCUUUGGGAUCUAAGCGAAAAGAGCGUUUCGCUCCUUUUGCUGGGAGAACUCAGCCGAACCUUAUCAUUUAGAGGAAGGAGAAGUCGUAACA
rnacentral:rRNA from 1 species